CAAAUUUUUGGUGUAGGUUAGGGAGCUAUUCAAAUUUUUCUUCAGAUAGAAUCUACCGCAAUUUUCAUACUGCUGCAACUGUCAAAGCCGCUGAAGAUAUGGGAUUGUAUGUCAAGGCUGUCGUCUGCGAUCCGAUGCUCCGUUAACAAACGAAUACUCGGAGGAAAAUUUGCCAGCAGCGCGUACGAAAGAAAACUGGCAGACGGCAGCACCUACCUAAUACGUCUAUUAUAUGACUACGCCCAUUUUGUAGAUGCGCUACUAAAAAAAUUCAGAAGGGAAAAGAAAAUAUAAUCAGCGCCCAGCUCACCAUUCUGGGAGAAGACUGGUUGUAUGCCGUCGUAUAGCGCGCUAUGGGGAUCGUGCGCCGCGAUUAUGCAAUUCCUGAGUAAUACACAGGUCGCGACUUUCCUGCCGACUAUAAAGAUUAAGGAGAUUGACAACUCUGACGGCAAGGCGAAAAGGAAGUGCGAAUUAAUCAGUGCGCUAACGAAGUUCAUUAACUCCUCCUCCUCGCAAUAUUCGCUGUAUUGCAAUGAUUAAGACACAAGAUGAGUCGCCACCAGGCCAUAACAGCGAAUAUCCUCAUUGGGACGUUAAAAGCAGUAAAUUUCUGAUACAAUUGUAUGAUUUAAUUUAAUGCCCAUUAAAAAAAUUUAUUGAUGCACAUUAACGAUAUAUCAGCGCAUGUUAGAGCUUAAGUUUUACAAAUAAGGCAACACAGUGGCGUCUUAAUUGAAAAUGCAGGAAGUCCUUUUAACUCACUUCAUUUCCAUGAUUGGUUAUAUGUCAAUCCAAGAAAUGAUAUUUCUUGACAUCGAUGUUUACAAUAACAUGAAAUACCGCCAAGAACUAACAGAAUGUACAUAGAAGAAAAGCAAGAGCCCUUUUACGAAUUGUAAUGAAAACCGCCUCAAGACGACUAAAUUAAAUAUGCCUGUCACCGAGUCGUUGAAGCGUUUAACAAGCGCGGCAGCCGAGCCGCAGCCAGAAGCAUGACGAAGACUGAGUAGGUGCUACUGCUGAGGAUGAUGUGGGCGAAUUGAUUUGUAAAUACCCUUUCAAUAUCUCGCACCAACGUUACAGCAAUCAGCCUCUUUGGCUCUUAUAUGCGUUUCAUCACCCGUCUGUGACUCUUACAUGCCUUUCUUGAUGAAUAUUCUCAGUCAUACCAAAAAUAUCAAAAUCAAAUGCAGCAUUUUGAUCGGCCUAUCUGAUCUCAUAUUUCGCUUUCCUAGUAUUAUUGAACCGUGGACUGGUCUUUUUAUUCGACACUGCAUGAUGAAAACAUAGAGUUGCCUUUCACGUAAAAGUAGUAAAAAUUGUAUUCCAGUAGGAACCUUAGUGGAAAAGCUGAUGUGCGAUACUCUUGACUGAAUUUAGUGGUUAUUUGAUUAGCAGAAUAAUUGCAACUGUUUCAAUUUAUAUCUCUUCAAAAGUUAUUAUAAAUCAAUGGUCGUUUCUUCUUUGUUCAGUACCAUCAGUGUGGACACUUGUACCUUAAUUAGUGGAAUCUACUGUUCGGAUGUAGCUAAAGCAAAAUUCCGAGCUUUGAAAAUGGUUUUCAAUGAAAUCUGCUUAUGCACUAGCAUGAUGAUUGGCAAUGUUUUAACUGGUUACAUGCAUGAGACUAAUUGCUGCGGCGGGUCAAGAGAUUGGCACUAGACGUUUCCAAUUAGUGGUAGAACGCACUUGGAAACGCACUGCUUUUGGCGGAUGGAAACUGGAUCAGAUGUCCCUAAAUUAAUAGCAGAAUACAUGCGCCAGGAAUUGCUCGUAGGUGAAUUUGUUACACACACUACGCAGGUUGAAAAAAUUAAUGAUGCUUUUGAAUUGAUGCAUGAGGGUAAAAGUAUACGAAAUCUGGUGAAAAUUUAAAUCUAGUGAUUUAUAAAGAUUAUAAUCUAAAUUUUGCACCAGGGCAUCAGUCAACCAUUGCUUCUUUCUAAUAAAUUGUUGGAGGUUCUAUUGAUACCACAAAAAGUUGGAAUCAGCUGUAUUUUUAUAAUAAAUAAUUGGUGGACGUACUGUUGAAAUAAUUGUGGAGUACUAGUAUCCCGAUUUCUACAAAACGACAAAAUACAAAAAAUCUCAACAAAAAACAUAGACCUCAAAGUAUUGUUACACAGCAGAGGCAUAAGGGAUCGAAAAAACUUGAAAUUUUGAAUUCAUCGUCGUUUGAAUGAUGACUUAUUAUUACUCUCUCUACGUGUUGAUUUCUUAUUUUAACCGCGUGAGCAUCGGCAGCGUAACAGACGUUUUUAAUUAUAAAAUUUUAAUAAAAAAAUCUUCAUAGAAGUGUUAACCAAUUUUUACGAAUUCCUUUUACAAAGGGCAUUAUCUUUAUUUACAAAAUAAGUC